rnacentral:rRNA from 1 species
AGAUUGAACGCUAGCGGGAUGCUUUACACAUGCAAGUCGAACGGCAGCGCGGACUUCGGUCUGGCGGCGAGUGGCGAACGGGUGAGUAAUAUAUCGGAACGUGCCCAGUAGCGGGGGAUAACUACGCGAAAGCGUGGCUAAUACCGCAUACGCCCUACGGGGGGAAAGGGGGGAUCGCAAGACCUCUCACUAUUGGAGCGGCCGAUAUCAGAUUAGCUAGUUGGUGAGGUAAAGGCUCACCAAGGCGACGAUCUGUAGCUGGUUUGAGAGGACGACCAGCCACACUGGGACUGAGACACGGCCCAGACUCCUACGGGAGGCAGCAGUGGGAAUUUUGGAC